rnacentral:rRNA from 1 species
AUUGAACGCUGGCGGCAGGCCUAACACAUGCAAGUCGAACGGUAGCACAGAGAGCUUGCUCUCGGGUGACGAGUGGCGGACGGGUGAGUAAUGUCUGGGAAACUGCCCGAUGGAGGGGGAUAACUACUGGAAACGGUAGCUAAUACCGCAUAACGUCGCAAGACCAAAGUGGGGGACCUUCGGGCCUCACACCAUCGGAUGUGCCCAGAUGGGAUUAGCUAGUAGGUGGGGUAAUGGCUCACCUAGGCGACGAUCCCUAGCUGUUCUGAGAGGAUGACCAGCCACACUGGAACUGAGACACGGUCCAGACUCCUACGGGAGGCAGCAGUGGGGAAUAUUGCACAGUGGGCGCAAGCCUGAUGCAGCCAUGCCGCGUGUAUGAAGAAGGCCUUCGGGUUGUAAAGUACUUUCAGCGGGGAGGAAGGCGGUGAAGUUAAUAACUUCACCGAUUGACGUUACCCGCAGAAGAAGCACCGGCUAACUCCGUGCCAGCCGCCGCUGUAA